AAGUCGUAACAAGGUUUCCGUAGCAGUUCACUUGCUGAAGCCUUUCGCAGCGACGUUAAACAAAUGCGCAGUCUGCCCAAGCAGGCUACACCAUCCAAAUGCUGGAAAUUGUAGGCCUUGUGCCAUAGUACCAGCAGCCAGAUGCCAGCUCAUCUGGUUCACAGAUCAAUUGAUGGUGGUCAGUUUCAGUGGGAGAGAUCCCGCUUGAUGAUUAAGAUAUGACCGGUCUCAGCUGUCACAGCUGCGGAGAAAAUGUUCCGUAGGUGAACCUGCGGAAGGAUCAUUACCGAGCAAGGGUCUUUAUGGCCCAAACUCCCACCCUGUGUUUAUAUACCUUUGUUGCUUUGGCGGUGCUUGCGGGCUUUAGCCCCGCCGGCGAUACCCGCCGGACGCCCGCCAGAGGUUUCCUACAAAUCUGUUAACGUGCCGUCUAAGUCAGUAUACAAAUCGUUAAAACUUUCAACAACGGAUCUCUUGGUUCUG
rnacentral:misc_RNA from 1 species